GGUAGCUGGUACUUGCCCUGUUUGUCGUAGGAACAUGAAAAAGAUUUAGUUUCUGCGAUGUUGGUGACUUAAGGGUUGUUGCUCAUAGCAGCUCAUGGAGUUGUAGGAAACAUGAUGUGUCACAACAUUGGCUUGUUUUUUCAAAACAUUUCCAGAUCCAAAACAUUGGUUGCAAACGGUGGGCAGCAUCAUGUAAAAAGAACAAGUUAAAUGUAAUUUUUUCAAAACUUGGUUUUGGUUAUUUUGAAGUCUUAAAUAAUAACUUUCUGAUUUUCCUCUUAUUCUUUGUCACAGCCUUGCAAAGGUGCACCAACAGUAAGAGCCACUUUUUUAAACAUUCUUUUCUUCAAUAUGUGUAAUGAGUCAAUUCUUUUGAGUUUCAAAUGUUGCUUUGAACAUUUAGGACGAAGUGAACCAUGGAAACAUGAUUCAUUAUCAAAAUUCAUCUUUAGUAGACAUUAAAAUAAAUUCAUCUUUUUGGUUU